GGACGAACGCUGGCGGCGUGCCUAACACAUGCAAGUCGAGCGAGGGGAGUUUCUUCGGAAACAAACCUAGCGGCGGACGGGUGAGUAACACGUGGGCAACCUGCCUUAUAGAGGGGAAUAGCCUCCCGAAAGGGAGAUUAAUACCGCAUAACAUUGCUUUUUCGCAUGAAAGAGUAAUUAAAGGAGCAAUCCGCUAUAAGAUGGGCCCGCGGCGCAUUAGCUAGUUGGUGAGGUAACGGCUCACCAAGGCGACGAUGCGUAGCCGACCUGAGAGGGUGAUCGGCCACAUUGGGACUGAGACACGGCCCAGACUCCUACGGGAGGCAGCAGUGGGGAAUAUUGCACAAUGGGGGAAACCCUGAUGCAGCAACGCCGCGUGAGUGAUGAAGGUCUUCGGAUCGUAAAGCUCUGUCUUCAGGGACGAUAAUGACGGUACCUGAGGAGGAAGCCACGGCUAACUAC
rnacentral:rRNA from 1 species